rnacentral:misc_RNA from 1 species
GGACUACCGGGGUAUCUAAUCCUGUUCGCUACCCACGCUUUCGUCCAUCAGCGUCAGUUAAAUCUUAGUGACCUGCCUUCGCAAUUGGUGUUCUAAGUAAUAUCUAUGCAUUUCACCGCUACACUACUUAUUCCAGCCACUUCAAAUUUACUCAAGACCUGCAGUAUCAAUGGCAGUUUCAUAGUUAAGCUAUGAGAUUUCACCACUGACUUACAAGUCCGCCUACGGACCCUUUAAACCCAAUAAAUCCGGAUAACGCUUGCACCCUCCGUAUUACCGCGGCUGCUGGCAC